rnacentral:rRNA from 1 species
UACGGGGGGGGGCAAGCGUUGUUCGGAAUUACUGGGCGUAAAGGGCUCGUAGGUGGCCAACUAAGUCAGACGUGAAAUCCCUCGGCUUAACCGGGGAACUGCGUCUGAUACUGGAUGGCUUGAGUUUGGGAGAGGGAUGCGGAAUUCCAGGUGUAGCGGUGAAAUGCGUAGAUAUGACAUAGAACACCAAUUGCGAAGGCAGCUUGCUACAGGGAUAUUGACACUGAGGCACGAAAGCGUGGGGAUCAAACAGG